AGUGAACGCUGGCGGUAGGCCUAACACAUGCAAGUCGAACGGCAGCACAGUAAGAGCUUGCUCUUACGGGUGGCGAGUGGCGGACGGGUGAGGAAUACAUCGGAAUCUACUUUUUCGUGGGGGAUAACGUAGGGAAACUUACGCUAAUACCGCAUACGACCUACGGGUGAAAGCAGGGGAUCUUCGGACCUUGCGCGAUUGAAUGAGCCGAUGUCGGAUUAGCUAGUUGGCGGGGUAAAGGCCCACCAAGGCGACGAUCCGUAGCUGGUCUGAGAGGAUGAUCAGCCACCCUGGAACUGAGCACCGGUCCAGCCUCCUACGGGAGGCAGCAGUGGGGAAUAUUGGACAAUGGGCGAAAGCCUGAUCCAGCCAUACCGCGUGGGUGAAGAAGGCCUUCGGGUUGUAAAGCCCUUUUGUUGGGAAAGAAAAGCAGCAGGUUAAUACCCCGCUGUUCUGACGGUACCCAAAGAAUAAGCACCGGCUAACUUCGU
rnacentral:rRNA from 1 species